GUGGGGAAUCUUGCGCAAUGGGCGAAAGCCUGACGCAGCCAUGCCGCGUGAAUGAUGAAGGUCUUAGGAUUGUAAAAUUCUUUCACCGGGGACGAUAAUGACGGUACCCGGAGAAGAAGCCCCGGCUAACUUCGUGCCAGCAGCCGCGGUAAUACGAAGGGGGCUAGCGUUGCUCGGAAUUACUGGGCGUAAAGGGCGCGUAGGCGGACAGUUUAGUCAGAGGUGAAAGCCCAGGGCUCAAACUUGGAAUUGCCUUUGAUACUGGCUGUCUUGAGUACGGGAGAGGUGAGUGGAACUCCGAGUGUAGAGGUGAAAUUCGUAGAUAUUCGGAAGAACACCAGUGGCGAAGGCGACUCACUGGCCCGUUACUGACGCUGAGGCGCGAAAGCGUGGGGAGCAAACAGGAUUAGAAACCCGAGUAGUCC
rnacentral:rRNA from 1 species